AUUGCAAGAGCCAGGCACUUGAGGGAAGAAAAUAACAUAUUUUUCCAAAUUCCAAAAGCUUUUCUUUAAAUAUUCAGUACUACAGCUUGGAGGACUGAGUAUAAUUUUUUCCUAUAAAUUAAAAAGUUAGAAGAAUGUAGGAUACGACAAAUUCAAUUUCCUACCACACAGGAAGGCGAUCUCAAACUUUCUCAACGAGGACGUGGAGUUUGUGGGGAGAGGAGAGAGAGAGCAAGAUAAAGCAAAGGAGCCCGGGAGAAGAACAUGUCCAAGCUCUUCUGCUGGAAGAUGAGAAUCACAUGGAGAAGAGUGGAAUUGCCCCAUUCUCCCAGCCAAGCCCAUCAAGACCUGGUGACAGCCAGCCAACCACCACCCCUGUGAGUGAACUCGGAGAAGACCAGAAGAACUUCCCAGCUGAGCCCAGCCCAAACUGGUCAACAU
rnacentral:lncRNA from 1 species